CACCUGCAGUCUUCCUAUUAGAUCAUGAACCUUGGAAUAGAAACGUACCAGCUUUCUUACAAAUAGCCUCUUCUCCUUCAAAAGCAGAUCUAAGGGCUUGAACUCUUGCAAACUAAUGCCUACCUUCCUUGUGAUGGGGAUGGGGAGGGGUGGAUCUCUUCCAGUGAUCUUCCCUCCAACCUACUCCCAGCCUCUCACCUCCCUGGCCACAUGCUACAAAUUGUCUUUAUAAUAACUGCAAUUCCUCAAUAAUCUCAACUUAAUACACACUUUUUAACACCACUUCUCAUAUUCCAGCUCACUUUGUCUGGUCACAAAACUCCAAAAGUCCUUUGAAAAUCUAACUCACUGCACCUACAGUCCAUUAGUCUCAUAUCCUUUCCCUGGCCUGGACCCCCACACCGUGUGUCCUCACUUCACUACUUAACUAAAUUCCACGGUCAAUCGUCAUAAUCACUCCCAUGCAGAUACCUUCACUAAGUUUUUCCCCAUUCCUUUUCUUACCUAUCUGUGCCUAAACCAAAACCCUCAUUAAAUCUAAACUCUUUGCUCUGCCCUAAGCCACGAAAUGUGACCAAAGGAAAAAACACAGUCCUGCCAUCAUCUUUCAUUUCCAGUUCAGGAAAAUCCACCUCAAAAGGUCUUGUCAUAAUGCUUGAUAAAGCAUGAUUAUGGAAAGGGUUAGAAAAGUGACA
rnacentral:lncRNA from 1 species